rnacentral:pre_miRNA from 1 species
CUGGAGAUAUGGAAGAGCUGUGUUGGGUAUAAGUAACAGGCUUUUCUUUAUCUUCUAUG